CAUUGACUCCCCGGUGGCUUGUUUGUCACGCCAAGUGGCGAACGACAACCACUCACCAUCAGGCUGACACGACCCCCCCCCCCCCCCCUUGCCAAAUGUAUGAGCAAAUAAAGUGAGCUCAGCACAUGUUAAGGCCUCCUAAUGCACUGUAAAACAACGUUGAACGCGUCUCGCCUAUCUCGGGGCUGCGAAGGUGGCCCUGAUGCCAAUAAUAUAUAGCCUGCCAGCUUCAAGGUUGUGUUCACGUGCGCAAGUACGCCGCCAAAGGCCUUGAGAAGACUAUUUGACUAAGUGAGUAAAUCAGCCGCCUGCUUGGCAUUUCUAUUACACAAGGAGAAAUAAUAACAUGCUCUUCUAACCAAUCACAAUGACUGCACGGAGGCGACAGAAAACCUUGCCUUUGUUAGUGUUGUUGUUGUUUACCUGUGGUUUUGUAGUUGAUUAGAAGUGCAUGUUACAUGCUCGUCACGGCAUUUUCCACAUUAUUUACAUAAGGAUGUGAAAAAUGAAAAUGACAUCAGUUACUAGUCACAGCUCAGAUUGUGAAUCACAUGACCAAAGUUGAGGAGAGCCAUGAUUUUUAAAAUAUUUUAACUUGGUUCGCGUAAAAUAUAUUUUUAACUCAAAAAGCUAUUUUUUUUUAAAAGCUAUUUUAUUAAAAUGCCUUGUUUAUUACUUUAAUGUGAUUUAAUGCUUAUAAAAUUUUCAGCGUUUUCACAUAUUUUUUUGUUUUAUGAUAAGCCUAGGCUUCUUCUACUCCUUUUUUGAACAGUGAUAUUUAUUGUUUGUUUAUUUUUGUGUGUUUUUAUUGGUUUUAUUCUUUAAAUCAUGUUCGAAAUGAAGAUUCAUACUACUAUUACAUUCGUUGUCUCUUAGAAAAGCCACUUCUCGUUUUUGUUCUUAAUUGUUGUGUCAUUUAUUGGACAUGCAUUGCUUGUUUUGAAUCAAGCACUUAAAUGAACCUGUUAGCAUAAUUAAUGUGAGCAUCCCGAGGGGCUGAUGAAUAUUAAUCAUUGGCACUGUCAGUUGCAUGGCUGCUUUUUUUUUAUUCUCAUAAAAUACUGACCUUUACCUAGAAUAUGAUUGUUUAUUUAUUUUCAUGGAAAACUGAAUUUAUUGACCCUUUUUUUUUUUAAAUCAUCAAAUUCCGACUUUUUUUUCUCUUUGUCCUCAAAGUAAACUUUAUUCUGAUAAUGAUAGGGCACCUACAGCCCAUCAGGUUUUGUUUUCAUUUGAGACAAAGCCACAAAAAGUAAAAAUUUAGAAUGGUUGCAUCUUAUAUGAAUAUGACAUGUCGCUUUUGCAGUGUCACAGGCAUCGAGGCAGGAGAAAUGCUCUAAUGAUAGAGAAUUGCAGGAGCACGACGAGGCACGCAUGUAAUGCAUGCAUGUUAAUGUUUACGCCCUGAGGCUUAGGAGGCAUUAUUUAACACGACACAAAGCAUCAGCCAUUGAUUUUACACGCUCGACUUCAUCAAUCAAACAUUUGAACGCACAUCCCGGGACACAUUGACAUUUACAGCUUCUUCCUGCACAGCACAUGUACAAAGACAUUGUAUAUCUUUAUGAUUUUUAAAAAAAAAAUGUACUCGUAACUAAUGACCCUUACAAAAAAUGAAAUACAUUUGGAAAACAAUUGUUUUCCUGUCGUGACCUUGUGAAAAAAAAUUCAACGUUUCUCAAAUUGGUUAAUUGUCAAAUUUUAUUGUCGCAAAUUAUGACCUGAUUCACACAAAAUUGUUUCAAAUUCAUCCGUUCAAUGACCCAAUUAGUUACUCCAGUGCUUCUCAAAUAGUGGGGCGCCCCUUGGGGGGCGCGGUGCUAUACCUGGGGGGGGGGCGCGUGUGACCCUGGGGAACAGGCUUUUUUUUUUGGCAGUACUAGAAUAAAGUGUAAUUGCGUAUUUUCACAGCAGGGGGCAGUGGCGCUCUCAUUGUUACUUGUGUGACGUUUGCGACAGUGCAACAUUUUACGACUUACAAGACAAGUUAGGAUAGUCACGGUGGGGAGGGGGGGACGCGAAUAGUUUUCUUCUUGCUAGGGGGGGGCGUAACAGAAAAUAAUUGAGAAGCACUGAAUUACUCGAAUUCAGUGACUUGCGGUGAGGGUCAUGACUGGGGAGGCACUGACGUCGCUCACCCCCACUUUCUGAUUGGCUGUUUGAUCUGACGUCAUUCGGACACUCGCUUAAUGGUCGAAUGGUUAACAUCAUUACCUCUGACACGCUGGGAAUAGUGUUCGAGACCAUCCCUUGGGCUGUACUUUGUCAAUUUUGUCUCACUUCUGCAUAAAGAUUGUGACUCUUAUUUUUCAUUAUUUUUUUUUCCUUUCACUUGUUAAAUGCUGCUUCAUGAUUCGCUGAGGUCUCAGGAAGUGGGUGGGGCAAUGAGAAUGAAAUCCGAUUGGUUGGAAAGGGGGGGGGUGAUGAUGCAGGCGAGGGGUCCUUGUGAUUGGUGGGAUGUGAAGUCGGUUUGAAAUUCUGCCUUUCGAUUGGCUGAUGGAUAAGGACGUGGUCAAGCCCAUUUCAGCUGCGCUCUGAUUGGUCAGACGGAAUUUGGGCAGAGGUAGGAGGCGGGCAAAGUGGCACUUAGGGUAGGAAGAUUUGAAUUGGCGGAUGUGACGUCAUUAAUUGGGGACGGGAUAAAGUGCGGUUUCUCGGUCAAGCUAGCGUGCGUCUGUCGUCCAUUGGCGGUUCUCAAGACGGACGCCCUGUUUGUUGCAGGAUUCAAGGCGGGUUAGUAUGCUAGUAUGCUAUCAAAUGUUUGUCGUUCGUUGCCGUUUCUCACGACGGACACCUCGUUUGUUUGAUGCAAGAUUUUCACACUCGUCACGGCCACCGCAACUGUCGUUUUGCCGCUACAGUAUUUCAAAUCUCUUUGGCGUUUUGUUUCGUCGACGUGAGCUUUGUUUGCGUUGUCGACGUCAUGAAUUGGCGACGGGGUGUGCUCAAGGUAAGUUGUCAUACACAAGUGCGACACGCGGGCAAGCUAGCAUGCUAGUAAAUGUUUGUCGUUCAUUGGCGGUUCACACGACGGACGCCACCGACCGCGUGGCGGUUUCUCGGGUAAGCGAGCAGGCUAGCAAAUGUUUGUCGUUUAUUCUCACGACGGACGCGUUCUCAAAUGCAGGCGUCGCCGACCGUGUGGCGGUUUCUCGGCUAAGCUAGUAUGCUAUCAAAUGUUUGUCGUUCAUUGCCGUUUCUCACGACGGACGCCUCGUUUGUUUGAUGCAAGAUUUUCACACUCGUCACGGCCACCGCGACUGUCGUUUUGCCGCUACAGUAUUUGAAAUCUCUUUGGCGUUUUGUUUCGUCAAAUUAACAAUGUUGCAUUACAUAUAGUGUGCUAUUUCCGUGUUUUGCGAACUGAUGACUGUGACCAAUCUGUUACGUCAUGUUCAAAUCUAUUCCAAGAUGGCGCCCAUCCACCCGCAACAAACAUUUGCGAGCGUGAUUUUCUCCCGUUUUCCUCGAUUCAUGCCUCCGUUUUUGAGUGAGUUGAUAGAUGAUAAAAUUAAAAUAUAAUUUGGAUACUUUUGUCAUUAUUAGAACUCAUUACAAUAUACUGGUAAUUGUAUACAUAUUUUAAAUAUAAAACUAGUUAUGUAUAAUUGUUAAACAAUAUCAUGGUAUUGCCACUCUACUCAAUGUCUACAAGUGUUUCAAUAAUUUGUUUGUGUUUUGUAGCGCUCAUAAAGGCCUCCCAGCCAGCACCCUUCUAUACAAAGCAAGCAGGAGGCUCCUGAGCCAUCUCGGUGAUCCUGAGCAAGUGUAGUCCCAAAUCAGGUUUCUUUGUCUGAAGAGCAACUCCGGAGUUAAAAGGUUUGACUCGGACAACGGGACUUCGGAGCAUGGCUUUUCAAACGGAGUGUGCUCAUAAAGGCCUCCCAGCCAGCAACCUUCUAUACAGGGUCCUGAGCCAUCUCAGUGUUGCUGAGGAAGAGUAGUCCCAAAUCAGGUUUUUCUGUAUGAAGCCAGUGAGCAGGGGCCGGUGAGAAGUCACACAAUUGAGCUGCCUGACGCAGAGUUGUUUUACCAUGUAUACGUUGUAUUGCAUUGUAUUGCAUGUAGUGUCUGUGUCAGGUGUGGUCUCAGGUGUGAGAGUGCGAGAGUGCGUGUGUGUGAGUGGUGAGUGUGUGGUGUGAGUGAGAGUGCGAGUGUGGUGUGUGAGUGGUGAGUGUGUGGUGUGAGUGAGAGUGCGAGUGUGGUGCGGAUGUGAGUGUGUGGUGUGAGUGGUGAGUGUGUGGUGCGAGUGUGGUGUGGUGUGAGUGAGAGUGCGGUGCGGAUGUGAGUGUGUGGUGUGAGUGAGAGUGUGCGUGUGAGUGAAAGUGCGAAUGUGAGAGUGAGUGGGUGAGUGCAUGCGAGUGAGUGCGGGAGUGUGGUGCGAAUGUGAGAGUGGUGUGAGUGAGAGUGCAAGCGUGUGUGUGUGGUGUGAGUGAGCGCGCGAGUGGUGUGUAGUGCGAGUGUGGUGUGUGUGGUGUGAGUGAGAGUGUGGUGCGGAUGUGAGUGUGUGGUGUGAGUGAUAGUGUGCGUGUGAGUGAAAGUGCGAAUGUGAGAGUGAGUGGGUGAGUGCAUGCGAGUGAGUGCGGGAGUGUGGUGCGAAUGUGAGAGUGGUGUGAGUGAGAGUGCAAGCGUGUGUGUGUGGUGUGAGUGAGCGCGCGAGUGGUGUGUGAGUGGUGCGAAUGUGAGAGUGUGGGUGAGUGGUGUGUGUGCAUGUGUGUGACAUACAAUACAAAACAAUAGCACUCAGACUCUCUCACACUCUCACUCACACCCGCGCUCACUCACACCACACACACUCUCACAUUCGCACUCUCACUCACGCCCGCGCUCACUCACACCACACACUCACGCGCUCACUCACACUCGCGCGCUCACUCACACCACACACACUCUCACAUUCGCACUCACACCACACACACCCUCACAUUCGCACUCACACCCGCGCUCACUCACACCACACACUCACACUCGCGCGCUCACUCACACCACACACACUCUCACAUUCGCACUCUCACACACACCCUCACAUUCGCACUCACACCACACACUCUCACAUUCGCACUCUCACACACACCCUCACAUUCGCACUCUCACUCACACCCGCGCUCACUCACACUCGCGCGCUCACUCACACCACACGCACUCACAUUCGCACUCUCACACACACCCUCACAUUCGCACUCACACCACACACUCUCACAUUCGCACUCACACACACGCGCGCUCACCCACACCACACACACUCACAUUCGCACUCUCACAUUCGCACCACUCACACCUGAGACCACACCUGACACAAACACUACAUGCAAUACAAUGCAUACAUGGUAAAGCACAGCUCUGCGUCAGGCAGUUCAAUGGUGUGACUUCUCAUCGGCCUCUGCUCACUGGCUUCAUACAGAAAAACCCUUGAAAAGUACAAAUGGUGCAAUUAGUAAAAGUGAUCACAUUUACAGUCAGCUGAAACUUUACACCAACGGGCUUUCACCUGAUUUGGGACUACACUUCCUCAGGAUCACCGAGAUGGCUCAGGAGCCUCCUGCUUGCUAUGUUUCGAAGGGUGCUGGCUGGGAGGCCUUUAUGAGCGCUACAAAACACAAACAAAUUAUUGCAACCCUUGUAGACAUUGAGUACAGUGGCAAUGGCAUGAUAUUGUUCAACAAUUAUACAUAUCAACUACAGUUUUAUAUUUAAAAAAAAAUAUGUAUACAACUAUACAUACAUAACUAUACAACUAUAAUAAUGACAAAAGUAUCCAAAUAAUAUUUUAAUUUUAGCAUCCAUCAACUCACUCAAAAAUGGUGCCAUGAAUCGAGCAGGCGCAAAGAAUUAAGCUUACUUGGCAGAGCCUCAACCGCGGAGCUACUGUGACACACAGCCUUUGCAUCAGAUAACGUCAACAACACUAAAGUGUGGCUAAUGUUAGCAUUGCCUGAUGGGAGCUCAGCAUCGGCUGUCAUCCGAUGUUUGGAUGCUUUAAGGGAGCGAUGGAGGAAGGCAAUAGGAUGACAUUGACGCUCACGAGCCCGCCUUGCCGACUCCAACUGGUGACAAACGGCCAUCAGACGGUGAGCGGGCGGGCGUCCGUCCUCUUAAAACCAUGGAAAUCCCACCUCAGGCCCAUCUCAGGAGGACAUCUGCCAAGGCACAAAUUAAAUCCUUGAAUCAUGAAAACCGCGUGGAGGCAAACGUGGUGCAAUUUAUGGAACUCAUACACAAUAAGUGGUCAAUCCAAUGUACGUAAUGUUAAGGCAACAUAUUGAAUUGCAUUUGUCUUCUCUACCGUCAUGUAUUUUACGGAAAAUUAAUAUAUUAAAAAAUGCCAUUCGUGUGGAUGAAAUAGUAACAUGCUGCACAAUGUAAACGACAAAGAUACUGUUUAGAACAGGGACGAAGCCCAAAAGCUGCGUAGCUACUCCAUCUAUGAGCGAGACAUGAUUGGUACUGUAAGAUGGAUGGGUUGAGAGAUGUUGCCACGCGAGCGAGUGCGACUGACUAGCCAAGAAUAGAGACAAAUAAGAGUCGAAUAAAGUACAAGAACAGAUUCCACUCACCUCUAAGUUCAGACAUUGAUGUUUGGAAUACUUUGAACAGCAGCCCCUCAUAAUAAUAAGCACAUGAUGAUUUGAUGCCAAUAGCACAAACAUAU